GGGGGUGCUUGGUUUCGACAGGGGAGGAGCACGGUAGAUUGCAAGCCGAGUCGCCCAGUCUCGUAAAAGGGGCAAAGGCAAUAACUGCCAACAUGAAUGUUCGGGCCCCACAGAUGGCCCUUGCUGCUUAAGAUAAAGUAGCACGUCUGUCUCCACUCUCCCGGUGGUGGGGAGUCAGGCGUCAGCAAGCCGGGUGCUCCUGGUGUUGAUGUCUGCGCAUAUCAGGCUAAGAUUAUGCAGGCUGACCUGCGGUUCGCCUGGUUUCCUGUGCGAUAGUAGGUGACAUGAAAACGGGAAACUACGCUUGUAGGAUAUCUGCCGUUUACUUUUCUGGACGGGGGUUCGAAUCCCCCCACCUCCACCA
rnacentral:tmRNA from 1 species